rnacentral:misc_RNA from 1 species
AAGUCGUAACAAGGUUUCCGUAGGUGAACCUGCGGAAGGAUCAUUACAGAGAAUAUCGCCCUCACGGGUGACUCUCCAACCCUAUGUUAUUGUACCUUUGUUGCUUUGGCGAGACGCUUAGGCCACCGGCUCACGCUGGUGAGUGCUCGCCAGAGGACCCCAAACUCUGAAUUAUUAGUGUCGUCUAAGUACUAUAUAAUAGUUAAAA